rnacentral:lncRNA from 1 species
GCCACCACCAGCAGGGGAGGAAGGGAGGAGGAAACAGCACCUUAUUUAAAUGCAAAUGAUUGCAAUACAACUUUCUUUAUUAAAAUGCAAAUUGCACUUCAGUCUCUGACACCUCCUGAGUGCCAUAGCCACAGAACACAACCAGGAAUGAAAGCCGGAGGACCCCGCGCCUAGGAUGCCUGGAGCUCCUGGAGCGGCCUCGGGUUCCAUCCCUCCUCCCUCCCAGCAUGGAGAAGACUUGGCCUGCUGGUGAUGCCCCUGCAGGAUUCUGUGAGGGAAGCUGCUGGGGGUUCACCCAGUCCCUGACUAAUAACAGACUGAACUCACAACAAUGACAUGACAUCGGGCAACAGCCCCUGGCACCUGGCAAGGACUGGACUGAUGACUCAGGCCCCACCUCCACUUCCAGCUUCUCUGGUGGAAGAGUCCCUCAUGCCGAUGAGCCAGAAAUGGGAAGGUGCUUCGUGGUGGAGCAGACCCCAUCAGUGCUGCCCAUGUCCCCUCCACCCUUCUUCAACUCAGUGCCCACCCACUCGCCUUCCAGGCGCUCAGUCUCACAGAGUGCCACGUCUGGAGUCUGCGCUGCCCUCCUACGCGGCAGCCCCAGCAGUGGGAGCUGGGAGGCCCUGGGCGCGGUAACUGUGGGGCAGGUUCUGGCUGCCUCCCAGCAUUCCCAGCAGCAUCGCGCUCCACUUGCCCACAGCAGCUGCCUUCCCUCCUGUCUCCCUCCCCACAUCCACCAAUUAAACUGGAAUCCAAUUGGAUUUGAAUCCUUGCCUCAAGGCCCACCUCUGGGGAGGCCCAACUAAGAGUUCUACACAGUUGUGAGCUAGCUCCCUGCAGGACCCAGUGACUACAGUGACUAAGAGGCUGGAGUGGAGGGCGCAGUGGCAAGGUCUGACUUCAGCCGCUCUGAUGGCUCUGGGGCCAGGACUUUUGGCAGACACUUUGUUAUCAGGCUCUGCAGAUUCGGCUGCUGUCGGUGCUGUGACAGGAGCCAUCUCCUCUUGUGUUCUCGGUCUACAUGUCUUCUUAUCAGCCCUUCUAAAAGGGCUGGCAGCUGGUGGGUGGCAGCAAAGUCAUGCCCACUUCUCAGGGAAAUGGGAUCCGAAAACUGUGGAAGAUUAUUAACGUGCAUUGGGUGUUUACCGUAUUACAUUUUGUUUACUCUCGUAACAACCCUGUAGACGGGGCUGCCAUAUACAGUCAGGCAGGUUGGUUGUUCACUGCACAAGGGAACCUGGCCAAGAGUGCAGCCUAUGUUCUUUCCAUAUAGUGUGAGCCAGCCACUGCCCUGCUUAUGAGCUGUAUCAUUGUCUCCAUUUUAGUGUAGAGGCACAGAGAGUUUAAGUAAUUUGUCCAAGAUUUCUCAGCACAUAGGAGGUUGUGCUGAGCUCUUAAUCUAAGAAUUUUGGCUGCAGAGCCUGCAUUACUAACUAUACUGCCUCACACUGCCUUGACAGGGCAGAGCCAUCGUGAGAGCUAGAAACCCCAGGAGGGCUCCAACUCCUGGGCACCAGUCAGGCCUGGGACACAGGGACUCCAGAGAAGCAGGGGGAGAGGGUCACCUCCCCUAGCUGACCCGGGGUCUGGGGCCCCAAGUCUGAGCUGCCUGCCUCGGGUGUCCACGGAACCUGGUGCAAACAGAAUAACGGCAAUGGCUAAGAGGGCUUUACCUGGUGCUAGGUGCUGGGGGUUUAUAUUUGUUUACUCACUGGAUCUUCCUAAGAACCUGAGGGUGUGUGCCAGUGGCUGCUCUUGGCCAUUGAUGUCCUCUCCCACCCCCUCCCCAGGCACACCACUGGGCCACGUCUCUUGGCCUCCCUUGCAGCUAGGUAUACCUGUGUAACCUCCUGUUGCAGUGGGAGCAGGGAGACUGGCUCUGUGAUCCUGUCUCUGUGAUCCUGAGCAAGUCACCGGCCUUGCUCAUGGAGCCUCCGCUUCCCCAUCUGUAAAAUGGAAUCAACACGUCCCACCCUGCCUACCUCCCUGGCCAGGACUAAGCCAGCUGUAUGAAGGUUUUAAAAAUCACACCUGGAACUGCCUAGGCCAAAGCUUAACACUUACCUGUCAUCUGCUUAAUACAGCUCCUAUUUCCAGUCUAGGUCUGUCUGUGGAAAUCCCUUACCUUUCACUGCCCAGGAGCCAGUCCUUCCUCAGGCGGCCUUCCUUCCUUCUCAGACACAGAAUAGCAGAGCCCACAUGCCAGGGCACCCCCCGCUAAUGACUCAGCCUCUAUAACGAGUCCAAACAUCUGGCUGACAAAGGGCACGGCUCGCUCCUGAAGCAGCUCCUUCUGCACAAAUAUGUUCUUAAUAUUCAAUUAGUAUUUAUCCACCACGAACAACAAUUACACCAUUGACUCUCAAUGAAGUGCCUGGUUAAUUAAUUAACACAGUCUUUUACAUGCUGGCAGUAUUUCUCAGUGAGUGCAAUAGUUAAAAUAAUAGCACAGUGACGCCACGAUGAGCUGGGGGGCUGGCGGGGGUGCCCUGGGUUUCCUGGGCUCCAGAUGUGAUUCUGGAGCCAAUGUUUACCACACAAAGCAUCUUCUGGACUUAAAAGGAAAAAAAUCACACUGGGAUUUUUGGCAGGCCUCUUAACGCCUCCCAGUUUCCUCCUCAGUAGGGGCUGGGCCGGAUGCCCACCCCGGUUCCUUGAGUCCUAUAAGCAUAGGUUCUGUAAGUGACAUUCAUACCUGUACAGACACCCCCUCAGGUUGCCACACCCAGGGGCCCUCUAGGCUCCACGGGGCCCAGCAUCUCGGAGCAGCUGACUCAAGACACCACUCUCGCCUCCCUGGCCCUCACCGACUAAUCCAGCACCCCCUCCUCAGGCCUCAUUUCUCCUUCCUGCUCCUUCCUGUGGGUGUUUUCAGAGCUCAGGUCUGACUUCAGCUUCGGUUUCUGACCUUGCUCUUCUCUGAGUCUCCUCACCACCUCAUUUGCAGCCCACAGGUCCUGACUGUCCCCAUCUUUGCUCCUGCCUUUAUCAGAGCCUGCUGAGGGUACAGAGCACAGCAGCCAUGCUGCCUGGGUCACCUGGCAUGGCCACUUACUGGCUGUGUAACCCAGGGCAAGUUACUCAACCCCCACUACCCCUUGCCUUGGUUCCCCUACUUCUAGAAUGGGGAUAAUCCUGUGGGAGAUGAUUGUAGCCGCCACCUGCACCAGCCAGGGUGGGCUGAGCUGCCGUACCAGGCCCAUGGCGCAUUGAGUGCAUUGGCUCAAGCACAGCUGCACCUUCUUUCCCACUCCUGUUUCAGUGCAGGGCAGCCUACGCCAGCAGACGGGCCCCUGCGGAGCAGUGACCAAAGGGCCCAGGCUCUUUCUGUCUUGUUGCUCCACCUUCCCCAGGGGCCCUGCCCUUGUUGUCCCCAUGGUCCCUGUGGUCUCCACGGGCCAGGGCCCUGCUAAAGGCAGAUCAGACACUUUUCUGAAGGCCUGGCUGGCAUCCCUCCCACCCAGCUUCCUUUGGUGACAAGGGGGUUACACAGGUACUCCUAGCUGCAAGGGUGGCCAGGGGAUGUGGUCCAGUGGUGUGCCCUGGGAGAGAGUGGGAGAGGACAUCAAUGACCAAGAGCAGCUUCUGCCACACACCCUCAGGUCCUUAGGAAGAUCCAAAGAGUCAAUAAAUAUAAACCCCCAGCACCUGGCACCGGGUAAAGCCCUUUCAGCCAUUGCUGUUAUUCUGUGUGCCCACACCAUGUUCCAUGGGCACCAGAAUCAAUGAGACACAUUCCUGUGUGUAAGAACCCCACUGAGGAGGAUGGUAGAGGAGAGACACAUAUAACUCACCUACCACAAUUCAGGAGGUGAACACCCAAGGUACAUACAACAUGCCAUGGGACAGGUGGGAGGAAGUGAGGGGCUGGGAGGGGACUGUGGGCUGAUUCUGGAGGAAUGGUGGCAGUUGAACAGGUGGGAGGGGACUCGAGGCCUGGAUCUGCAGCCAGGUCUGUGCUACAGCCAAGUCAGUCAAAUUAAAUUUCUCCCAAAUAUACCAUUAGUUGCCCAUGCAGGUGGAGAAGCCAUUUUUGACUCUGUUAAACAUUUUUUUGAGUUCCCCAACUGAUUCAAAAUGUUGGGAAACAGAAGGGUUUGGCUCUUUGGGAAGUUGGUCCGUGACAGACACCGCUGGUUGCCCACCCAGCAGACAAGAUCGCUUCUUCUGGUGGGGAGGCUCAGAGAAGGGAGGCCACACAUGAUUGUCAAAGCCGGUCAUGGCAAGCCCAUUGCUCCCUUUUGCCAGUGAUUGGCUUAAAUGUGUGCAUGUGACCCAAUUUCAGCCAAUAAACAAUAAAAAUAAGUCAGUUAGAAGGAUUCUAGGAAAGAUUUUACUCCCUGAUAAAAAGAGCCAUAUGCUAGGAGAGGAGCUCUCCCUUCCUGCUUUUGGAUAUUAUGGUGUGAGCGUGUGAUGUGGCAGCCACUUUGUGACCAUUAGGAAAAACAUGGCUGACAUGCUGAGAAUAGCAGAGUGGAGGGAGGAGCAAAAAUAGGACCCAAGAUAAUGUACUGAACCGCUGGACCUGCCCUGGACGUAUUCAACCUCCUGACAUCUUGUUAAGCAAGCCUGUGACCUUAAACCAGCUACUUCAACUUCUUCAUCUGUAGAAUGCAUAACAAUAGCACCUACCUCACAGGGCUGUUAUGAGAAUAAAAGUGAUUUAUUUGCAAAACCCUUAAAAAUAUGCCUGCACAGAUGUCUGCCACUGUUGGUGUUAAAUAACUAGAAGUAAUUAAAAAAACUCCUGUUGGUUAAGCCAUUUUGAGUGGCUUUCCUGUUACUUGCAGCCAAAAGCAUCCUGGCUGAUACUCAGGUGGUGAAGAAUGAGCACCUUCAGCAGAAGGCAGGGCUGAAAAGCUGGCACGCAGGAGCCUGGGUCAGGGCUGGGGUGGAUGUGAGGACCCUGGAAGGACCUGGAGCCUCCAGGAGGAUGGUGUGAUGUGCUGCUGUCUGAUAUGCCCCAGGAGGGGACAGCUGGUGUCUGCAGGGGCUGGGUGAUCAGGGGACAUCCACCCCUUGUCUCUACCAGUUGCAUUCCAGCACACAGUCUUGGCUCAAAGGGCCAAACAGAUGCCUGCUGCAGAGGGGAUUUGAGCCCUGGACAGGAUGGCCUUUCAGGUUCACAGGGGUGGCAGGAAGAUUUGACUCUGUGUGCCUCAGUCUCACCUCCAAACCAUUGAAGAGCCCUUUCUUUCUUUUUCCUUUUUUUCUUUUUUUCUUUCUUUCUUUUCUUUCUUUCUUUCUUUUUCCUUCUUUCCUUCCUUCCUUCCUUCCUUUUCUUUCCUUCCUUCCUUCCUUCCUUUUCUUUCCUUCCUUCCUUCUUCCUUUCUUUCUUCCUUUCCUUCUUUCUUUCUUUCUUAGACGGAGUCUGACUCUGUCUCCCAGGCUGGAGUGCAGUGGCGUGAUCUCGGCUCACUGCAACCUCCGCCUCCCAGCUUCAAGAGAUUCUCCUACCUCAGCCUCCCGAGUAGCUGGGAUUACAGGUGCCUGCCACCACGCCCAGCUAAUUUUUUGUAUUUUUAGUAUAGACAGAGUUUC